UGCCGGGUGGUGUAGUGGUACAUAUCACCCCAUUCACGGUGCCUUGCUUGAGGACCGUUCUGUAAUUGUUACGAGGGGGUGGUGUCGCAGGUUCGAAUCCUGCCCCGGCAA
rfam:Fusarium oxysporum f. sp. cubense race 1 unplaced genomic scaffold scaffold537, whole genome shotgun sequence.